rnacentral:rRNA from 1 species
UACGUAGGGGGCAAGCGUUGUCCGGAAUCAUUGGGCGUAAAGAGCGUGUAGGCGGCUCGAUAAGUCUGCUGUGAAAGUCCAGGGCUCAACCCUGGAAGGCCGGUGGAAACUGUCGGGCUAGAGUCCGGAAGAGGCGAGUGGAAUUCCUGGUGUAGCGGUGAAAUGCGCAGAUAUCAGGAGGAACACCAAUGGCGAAGGCAGCACUCUGGGACGUGACUGACGCUGAGACGCGAAAGCGUGGGGAGCAAACAGG